rnacentral:lncRNA from 10 species
AUUUCACCUGAAAUUCUAGACCCUCCAUGAUACGACUCUGCCCCAACCUGCUUUUCCAUGUUAUCUUCCAUUACUUUCCAAGCUGUAUCUGAUGAUCUAGGGAAAGCCUGAUGCUUCCCAAGGAUCUUGAUACCUUUUCCCACGGUGUGGGUUCUGCUUUGCAAGAACUUUUAUUCCCUUUCUUCACUGCUCUGUCCUGUCACCCAUUCCCCUCCCCUAUCACAUACUUUCUCCAGUCUUGAAGAAACCUCCAGUUGUGGCGUGAUGAGUAGGCUCUUCCUGUGCUAUGGAGGGGUCAGAUGGGUGGAGAAAUGAACAAAUCCUCCAUUUAAAGGCUUCUACUGCCACUAUAGUAACCAUGAGAAAGCCUUUGAAUUUCUAACUUGACUCUGCCAUAGAC